AGGGUUUGAUCAUGGCUCAGAACGUACGCUGGCGGCACGCCUAACACAUGCAAGUCGAACGCAGUAGCAAUACUGAGUGGCAGACGGGUGAGUAACAUGUGGGAAUCUGCCUUGUGGUUCAGGACAACAUUGGGAAACUGAUGCUAAUACUGGAUAAGCCCUUACGGGGAAAGUUUUAAUGCCAUAAGAUGAGCCCGCAUUUGAUUAGUUAGUUGGUGAGGUAAUGGCUCACCAAGACAAUGAUCAAUAGCUGAUCUGAGAGGAUGAUCAGCCACACUGGGACUGAGACACGGCCCAGACUCCUACGGGAGGCAGCAGUGGGGAAUCUUGCACAAUGGAGGAAACUCUGAUGCAGCGAUGCCGCGUGAGUGAAGAAGGCCUUUGGGUUGUAAAGCUCUUUUGUAGGGGAAGAUAAUGACUGUACCCUAAGAAUAAGGUCCGGCUAACUUCGUGCCAGCAGCCGCGGUAAUACGAAGGGACCUAGCGUAGUUCGGAAUUACUGGGCGUAAAGCGCGCGUAGGCCGUUGAGUUAGUUAAUUGUGAAAUCCCAAAGCUUAACUUUGGAACUGCAAUUAAAACUGCUCGACUAGAGUUUGAUAGAGGAAAGCGGAAUACAUAGUGUAGAGGUGAAAUUCGUAGAUAUUAUGUAGAACACCAGUUGCGAAGGCGGCUUUCUGGGUCAACACUGACGCUGAGGCGCGAAAGUAUGGGUAGCAAAGAGGAUUAGAUACCCUCGUAGUCCAUACCAUAAACGAUGAUUGCUAGAUGUUGGAAAUUUAUUUUCAGUAUCGCAGCUAACGCAUUAAGCAAUCCGCCUGGGGAGUACGACCGCAAGGUUAAAACUCAAAUGAAUUGACGGGGACCCGCACAAGCGGUGGAGCAUGUGGUUUAAUUCGAAGAUACGCGCAGAACCUUACCAACCCUUGACAUGUCUGUCGCGAGUUUAGGAAACUAGACUUUUCGGUUCGGCCGGACAGAACACAGGUGCUGCAUGGCUGUCGUCAGCUCGUGUCGUGAGAUGUUGGGUUAAGUCCCGCAACGAGCGCAACCCUCGUUCUGUGUUACCAGCAUUCAGUUGGGGACUCACAGGAGACUGCCGGGGUUAACUCGGAGGAAGGUGGGGAUGACGUCAAAUCAUCAUGCCCCUUAUGUCUUGGGCUGCACGCAUGCUACAAUGGCCGGUACAAAGUGCUGCGAAAUCGUAAGAUUUAGCGAAUCACAUAAAGCCGGUCUCAGUUCGGAUUGAGGUCUGCAACUCGACCUCAUGAAGUUGGAGUUGCUAGUAAUCGUAGAUCAGCAACGCUACGGUGAAUACGUUCCCGGGGCUUGUACACACCGCCCGUCACGUCACGAAAGUCGGUAACACCCAAAGUUAGUGGCCCAACCGCAAGGGGGGAGCUACCUAAGGUGGGAUCGGUGAUUGGGACGAAGUCGUAACAAGGUAACCGUA
rnacentral:rRNA from 1 species